UAAACACGAUCAGGAAUAGUAACUUAUUUACAAAAAAACAACGAAAGACAUUAUUGCAAGUGUAAACAAAACUUUACAGAGCAGACAUAAAAACAGCUUUAAAAUAAUAACUGCUUUCAGUAUAAGCUGGAGUCAGUACAUUAUAAAAUCUGAAAAACAACUUUCAGUUCUAGUUAAGAUGCAAGAAAGUUCUUCAAUAACAUAUAUACCAGAAAAAAAUACAAACAACAUAUCUAGAUAACUCACACAGGCCUCAUUGUACUCAGAAGAAAAAAAGAAAGAGAGAAAGAGGAAAAAAACCAAAACACAAAAACCCAAACGAACUGAAUUCAUUCCACUCAUUUAGCUCAAGUAUUACAGCCAUUUGAAAGAGGUUAACUGUGUUUGUUCAAGUUUAUUUGAAUAUUAAAUGCAAGAUAAGAGAUCUCUAGAUGAAAUGUAAAAGACUGUAUCUUAUUUUUAGGAAAUAAACAGAUUCCAGAGGUGUGUUCCCGCCCAGCCAAUCCCGAGGCUGUUGUGCAGCUCUGCCACCUCUCCAAGCCCAAUCGCAGCUCGGAAGGGAAACUCGUUUUGCUGUUUGUCUCGGCAGCGCUGAUGAUGGAUGGCUGCUUCAGGGGAAGAGAUCAAGCUGUGUGAAUCAAGAAGGUAUCUCCUCAUAGCUGCCUAAACCAACUACGUGUAAAGAAAAAACAAAAAAAAAAAACCUGAGUUUUUUUGUAAUAUAAUUCAAGUACAUAAUCUCUUGGAAAAAUGAUAGCAUACCCAGUUAGUGUCCUAACAGAACUGGCAUCAAAUGAACUACUAUCACCAUCAGCAAGCAACACAGGAUCUGUCUCAGUUCCAAAUUUACCCAGCCCUUAAGGUAGAGCAAAGCCUACUAUGAAAUCCCAUGCUUGACCCUAUAUAGUGCCAUUCAGCAUAGCACUAGUGCAGCCAAGGCAAGACGGUUACAUCCAGGGGGCCAACUCACAGCAUAUUCACUUGGCAAAUCUAGAAAAUCUAGAAAAUGUAGUAACCCAAAAGAAUUAUCUUCUUCACUCACCCCUCCACAAUAACAAGCCAUUUAGCAAGUGCACUGAGACAAGUUUUAAGCCAUUCCAGACAGUGCCAAGUACCAGCACGGCCACAGAGAUUUCUGCUUUGGCUGAACUGCUACUGCUUAAGAGACUGGGAGAACACAGCAAAGUUUACUCUAGCAGAUUACCACUCUGGAAUCUCACCCACUUGAUCUCCCAACCAAGGCAUCUUUCUGCCAACUUCUGUGUGCAAACAGGACAUAAGAGAUUCAAAGUAUUACUACUGCUGAAUCUUCACAUACAGACCAGACUGCAUUACACAGGACAGAACCAGACAGGUUAUAUUUGCAAAGGAUGACCUGGGUAAGUCUGCACCAAAGCCCUAUCUUCAGUACAAGGUGGUAGACUGUCACUGAAACAUACUGCUUUGACCCUCCCACGCCAGCAUCCCUGAAUAAAGUGCAAACGUGGUUACAAUUGCCAACUGAAACAGGCCAUUACAAACUAGGGUUAAACGGGGCUGGCACUGAAAAGUCAUUUGUCACCCCUGCAUUGAUGGAUUUGCAGCAUUACUCUGGUUUAUCAAGAAGAGGUAAGCACUGAGUCAUCUAGCUCAGAAUAACAAAGGUCCCAAACAGUCCCCAGAUAGCACACCAUUUAGUCCUGAAAUUAAGAUGAGCUGUUACAAGAAUUUGGGGAUAUGUUUACAUUUUGCCCAUUUACUUCCAAGAAAACUUCUCCAGUUGUAUAAUAAGCAUUUACAGGGACUCUGAGAAAUUUCUGAUGACCUGAACUGAGAUGAGCUGUCUGUCUGAAGUGACAUGAAAAAGUUCAAGUCCUACUCAUUUCUGGGGUGUGGACACUGAAUGGUCCACUUCAAAGGCCCAUUUUGUCCACGUUCCUCCUCCACAGUCAUGCAAGUCUACAAUUAAAAUAAUUUUUUCAUUUACAGUUAACUAUUAAGUUUUUUUUUGGGGGGGAAGUAUUUUUGACCAGUAUUUGACCUUAAUGCCAUUUCUGUUUAUUUAAAUAACACUGUUACAUUGAUGUACAUGUCACUAUAGAUUUAUCUGGAAGUCUAUCAAUAUUAAAAAUGAAAAUCCAAGAAUCUUCCAUUCCUGACUGAACACACUAACUGGUGGGAAGGACUUCUUGCCUUGCUUCGUAUGCAAGUUAUUUCUUAAGACAGAACAAUUCCUUCAUCUGGUCUGGCCCCUACAUAAAAUCUGGUAUCGUAUCUCAGAAGACAUUUGUUCAUGAAGUCAUCUUUAAACAAUUUGUGAGUGCACAUCUAGAGAAAUCCUCAGUUUCCCAACCCCACCAAGGACUUGUUUAAAAGACAGAAUUUAUUCUUUGUAAAGUGUUUUUGUUUUUUUUUAACCUCAGGACUUCCCAAGUAUUUUUUAGCAACUAUUUUUUGAAGGAACGGCAAAUCAUUCAGCUUCCAUGUGAGAUUUUCAGAAGAAUCUUCUUAAUCAUCUUAGCAUGUUUGCAUGAAGAUUUAUUACUACUGGGAACUACUUUUGAGCCACGUGGCUACCCUGCCCCAGAAGGUCUGAGAUACAGGGAUUGUACCUCCCCCAAAACAUGCAAAUCUGUGACACUCAUGGCACUGCAUUAGGGUUCCCUCUAAUGCAGGCCUCCGGAUCUGAGAGGAGAAACACAGGUGUAAGCCACAUACAUGGGAAACACAUUACAGUCUAUGACUGUAAAAUAAAUUUUUGCACCAGAAGCACCAUGAAGCAGCCAUACUUUUCCACUGCCUUUAGCAGUAAUGAUUUGCACCCUGAAUUCAUACUGUAUGAAGACUCUACUUCCUCCAAGUCUCUUUUACCAGUGUGAGCAAACAUACUAGCUAACUCUAAAAA